rnacentral:rRNA from 1 species
GAUGAACGCUGGCGGCGUGCUUAACACAUGCAAGUCGAACGAUGAAGCCCAGCUUGCUGGGUGGAUUAGUGGCGAACGGGUGAGUAACACAUGAGUAACCUGCCCUUAACUCUGGGAUAAGCCUGGGCAACUGGGUCUAAUACCGGAUAGGAGCGUCCACCGCCUGGUGGGUGUUGGAGAGAUUUAUCGGUUUUGGAUGGACUCGCGGCGUAUCAGCUUGUUGGUGAGGUAAUGGCUCACCAAGGCGACGACGCGUAGCCGGCCUGAGAGGGUGAUCGGCCACACUGGAACUGAGACACGGUCCAGACUCCUACGGGAGGCAGCAGUAGGGAAUCUUCCGCAAUGGGCGAAAGCCUGACGGAGCGAUGCCGCGUGGGUGAUGAAGGUCUUCGGGUCGUAAAGCUCUGUUGUUAGGGAAGAACAGCAGGAUGAGAAAAUGUGCAUAUUUUGACGGUACCUAAAGAGAAAGCCACGGCUAACUUCGUG